rnacentral:rRNA from 1 species
GGUCAAGCUACAAAGGGCUCACGGCGGAUACCUUGGCACACAGAGGCGAUGAAGGACGUGGUUACCU